rnacentral:tRNA from 4 species
GGGCGAUUAACUCAGUGGUAGAGUGCCUUCUUCACACGGAGGAAGUCCGCAGUUCAAAUCUGCGAUCGCCCACCA